rnacentral:rRNA from 1 species
AGGACGAACGCUGGCGGCGUGCUUAACACAUGCAAGUCGAGCGGAAAGGCCCUUCGGGGUACUCGAGCGGCGAACGGGUGAGUAACACGUGAGUAAUCUGCCCCUAGCUCUGGGAUAGCUCCGGGAAACCGGGAUUAAUACCAGAUACGACCACUUUAGACAUCUGUUGUGGUGGAAAGAAUUUUGGCUAGGGAUGAGCUCGCGGCCUAUCAGCUUGUUGGUGAGGUAACGGCUCACCAAGGCGACGACGGGUAGCCGG